rnacentral:rRNA from 1 species
GAUGAACGCUGGCGGCGUGCCUAAUACAUGCAAGUCGAGCGAACAGACGAGGAGCUUGCUCCUCUGACGUUAGCGGCGGACGGGUGAGUAACACGUGGAUAACCUACCUAUAAGACUGGGAUAACUUCGGGAAACCGGAGCUAAUACCGGAUAAUAUAUUGAACCGCAUGGUUCAAUAGUGAAAGACGGUUUUGCUGUCACUUAUAGAUGGAUCCGCGCCGCAUUAGCUAGUUGGUAAGGUAACGGCUUACCAAGGCAACGAUGCGUAGCCGACCUGAGAGGGUGAUCGGCCACACUGGAACUGAGACACGGUCCAGACUCCUACGGGAGGCAGCAGUAGGGAAUCUUCCGCAAUGGGCGAAAGCCUGACGGAGCAACGCCGCGUGAGUGAUGAAGGUCUUCGGAUCGUAAAACUCUGAUAUUAGGGAAGAACAAAUGUGUAAGUAACUAUGCACGUCUUGACGGUACCUAAUCAGAAAGCCACGGCUAACUACGUG